rnacentral:rRNA from 1 species
CAGGGAAUAUUGCACAAUGGGCGAAAGCCUGAUGCAGCGACGCCGCGUGAGGGAUGAAGGCCUUCGGGUUGUAAACCUCUUUCAGGAGGGACGAAGCGAGAGUGACGGUACCUCCAGAAGAACGCCCCGGCCA